rnacentral:rRNA from 1 species
AUGGACCCCCGGCCACCGGCCCCGGCCGGCCUCCCCUACUGCUGCGGCACGCCCUGUGGCUGGCUCGCUCUCACGGACCACCUGCGAUCCCCCACCAGGCUCAUCCUCUGGGAGCCCCUCUCCAAAGCCGAGAUCCCUCUGCCCACUCUCACAACCGUCGCCCAAGUGUUCCUCUCCGGAGACCCGCUCGCCUCGCCGGGCUGCCGCUGGAUGGCGAUCGCGAGCCAAAAGAUCCCCGGCGCACAGAUCGGGCAGAGGCUCUUCUUCUGGCGCCCCGUAGACGCGGGCUGGGUGAUGCAGCUCGAGUACCCUAACGGCAGGAUCGAAGGCGCGGCCUUCCACAACGGCAGAUUCUACGUCUCCACCAUCAACAUGUCCCUCGACAUUUUCGACCUCCAACACCAUCCUCCCAAUCGUCUGCGCCGCAUCUGCCUCUACGCUCCUUUGCAAGCGCGGUAUCCACGCUACCCUGGGAAUCCGAUACCGCAUGCUGUGGCCUGCAACAACCAGAUGCUGCUCGUCAUCGUGUAUCGCGGACCACGCCAGGCCGUGAUACUUGCGGAAGUGCACCGCCCGGAUUGGGAUGCCGACCGCCUCGACCUCCGGGAGCACAAGGUGUCGGAUCUCGGCGACUACUCGCUCUUCCUGGGCCGGGGUGACACGCUCGCGCUCUCUGCAAACGAGUUCCCGGCCAUCAGAAGAAAUUGUGUCUACUUUGUGGAGCAUGAUACAUACAAGCAUGAGCAGUGGGUGGUUGUGUUUGAUUUGGGGUCAAACGAUUUGGAACGGAUUCCCCACCCACAAGAGCACCUGGAGGGCGGCGGCAAAAGCACUGGCUGGCUGGCGUAUUCCUGGUUCUGUCCCAGAAGGCCCUUCCUUGGGAAGCAGGCCCUAUGA